rnacentral:rRNA from 1 species
GAGUUUGAUCCUAGCUCAGAACGAACGCUGGCGGCAUGCCUAACACAUGCAAGUCGAACGGGAUCCAGGCUUCGGCCUGGUGAGAGUGGCGGACGGGUGAGUAACGCGUGGGAACCUGCCCAAUGGUCUGGGAUAACCGCGGGAAACUGCGGCUAAUACCGGAUAAGCCCGAGAGGGGAAAGAUUUAUCGCCGAUGGAGGGGCCCGCGUCCGAUUAGGUAGUUGGUGAGGUAACGGCUCACCAAGCCGACGAUCGGUAGCUGGUCUGAGAGGAUGAUCAGCCACACUGGGACUGAGAUACGGCCCAGACUCCUACGGGAGGCAGCAGUGGGGAAUAUUGGACAAUGGGGGCAACCCUGAUCCAGCAAUGCCGCGUGAGUGAUGAAGGCCUUAGGGUUGUAAAGCUCUUUUGGCGGGGACGAUGAUGACGGUACCCGCAGAAUAAGCCCCGGCUAACUU